ACUUGUGGCACCUUAGAGACUAACCAAUUUUUAUGCUCAAAUAAAUUGGUUAGUCUCUAAGGUGCCACAAGU
rfam:Chelonia mydas contig188918, whole genome shotgun sequence.